rnacentral:rRNA from 1 species
AAACUCAAAGGAAUUGACGGGGACCCGCACAAGCGGUGGAUGAUGUGGAUUAAUUCGAUGCAACGCGAAAAACCUUACCUACCCUUGACAUGCCUGGAACCCUGGAGAGAUCUAGGGGUGCCCGAAAGGGAGCCGGGACACAGGUGCUGCAUGGCUGUCGUCAGCUCGUGUCGUGAGAUGUUGGGUUAAGUCCCGCAACGAGCGCAACCCUUGUCACUAGUUGCUACGCGAGGGCACUCUAGUGAGACUGCCGGUGACAAACCGGAGGAAGGUGGGGAUGACGUCAAGUCCUCAUGGCCCUUAUGGGUAGGGCUUCACACGUCAUACAAUGGUCGGUACAGAGGGUUGCCAAGCCGCGAGGUGGAGCCAAUCCCAGAAAGCCGAUCGUAGUCCGGAUUGCAGUCUGCAACUCGACUGCAUGAAGUCGGAAUCGCUAGUAAUCGCGGAUCAGCAUGUCGCGGUGAAUACGUUCCCGGGUCUUGUACACACCGCCCGUCACACCAUGGGAGUGGGGUUCACCAGAAGUAGGUAGCCUAACCGCGAGGGGGGCGCUUACCACGGUGAGCUUCAUGACUGGGGUGAAGUCGUAACAAGGUAGCCGUAUCGGAAGGUGCGGCUGGAUCACCUCCUUUAUGAG